GAAAAGGCUGCUGUCAAGCACACAGUAUGUGGUCCAAGAUAGCUCCUAAACUUUAUCUGAGCUCAGUGGAUUGUGUAGAGUACUGUUAUAGAUGGAAGAAGAGUGAAAACUACAGAAAUAGAUGUUGUAAAAGAAGAGGCAGCAGCAGAAAGCAGAGCCCCAUGCUGUAUUACCUAAGGAAGAGGCCUGGAACCAAUGACUGCAUCAUCUGACCUUGCAUCACAGGUAGCAGGAACAACAGAAGCUGCUGAUGAUACUGUGGACAU
rnacentral:lncRNA from 1 species